UUUAGAUCUCCUUUCUCCUGGUGUGAAGGGUAAGAUUUUCAAAGUCCAGCGAACCUACCGACUCUUUGCAGUUGUCUAUCACCAUGGAAACAGUGCAACUGGUGGACAUUACACUACAGAUGUCUUCCACAUUGGUCUUAACGGCUGGCUGCGCAUUGAUGACCAGAUAGUGAAAGUGAUAAAUCAGUACCAAGUUGUGAAGCCCUCUGCUGAACGUACAGCCUACCUCCUGUACUAUCGCCGAGUUGAUCUGCUGUGAACUGUCAGUGCACUGUUGCUCUAGCAUCUCACCCCUCAGAGCACCAACUGUCAGAUAAACCCUUCCCUCCCUCAUUGCAACUUUUCAAAUCCACUCUCAGUAACUUCAGAUUUAAGUUUAAAGGGGAAAAACCUGGGGAUGUGCACCAGCAGCAAAUCUUGUAGGUAUAUGUCUGUGACAUCUUUCAUAACAUUUUAACUUCAUACAAAUCAGUUGCUAAUGUUUUUGCUUUUGAUAAUAGGUAACACUUGAGCCCAUGUUUUUGGGGGAGGGAUAAGUGUUCCAUUGUACUGAAUGCUUUGGUGUUUUGAUGAGAAAAACUUGCGUGUGAUAUUACUGGGUGUUGAGUAGCAGUAGGAUGCUGACAGUUUUUAAACAAAAAGCUUAAUGAAAAUGCUUAAAACUGCACGUUACAAAAUAACAUGCAAAUCUACAUUUGAGGUUGAAAUAUUGAGACUGCUUAGAUGGGUGAUUGUAACUUUAAUGCAGUUACUAAGACUUCUGAUUGCAAUUAUGCUUCUGUGUACACAGUUGAAACUUGAUAUAAAAAGAAAAGAUGAUUGAUAUAAUUCCAUUAAUGGUUCAGUCUGGCUUUGUUUACUUUGUGGUUUUGCUCUUCUCUCAUUGUUGAAAUAGAGCUGUACACAAUUUAGUGAUAUUUAUAGAAAAUUGAGUUUAUCACCCAUCAGUUAAUAAAUUCAUUUCAAGCUCUUUAAAUAACUGUUUGGGCGUGAAUUGGACGCAAGAUCACAAUGGUGCAAAGAAUUUUGAUUUGAGAACAGUCUGUUUCAGCUUUCCCAGUAUUGGUACCAGAAAAUGGUAAAAUUUAAAACCCUCUGCAGUUCUAGAAUUGAGUUACCCAUUCAAAAACAUUUAGACAAACCACCUUUUAAUUUUGUUUGCGCCACCUUAAUUGGGCUGUAACAAAAUACUUCCAGUGAAAUUUCACUGUAAUUAAAUGCUUCUUUUGCUAAUUAUAACAUUCUUACAAACUUGCAGUUAACUGACAACUCAUUCCACUAUUGAUUGCCACACAGCCAUUAUAGUGAUCUCACCAACUUAUUCCCAUGCCAGUGGAAUUAGUUGCUUGUUUGGGUCAAUUAAAUGUUACCACCUGUCCAAUAAGUAAUGAUCUCAUCAAAAGAAGUCCUCAUUAUUGCCAUACUUCUGUCAGCUAACAGUUUGAAUUAAAGUGCACCUGUAUUUUAAUGAACUGAAUUCUUAUUACUGCCGUAAGAAAUGUCUCUCAACCCAUUAGGCUGCGGCAAAUGUUUUUAGUGAUUGUUGUGAGGAUACCAGUUUCUGUUGGGAUGGAGGGUAGCUGGUGCUGGGGACUUAAUCUCUGUUUUUAAAAACUUUUUUCCAUGUUUGGUUGCCAGGGAUUGAUAGACAGCUAUCUGCAAUUUUUGCUUGAUGAUCUGUUUAGUUCAUGUAUUCAAAAACUUAUUUUCCCAGCCUUUUUAAUUCUUCACUUGUGCAUUCCCUAAUAAAGACUUCCCCGUACCUUUAAAUCCUUUCUUAAAUGACCAAACAUGGCUGACAUUUUAAUGUGAGAUAUUUUCAGAGCUUUUUAAGAACUAUACAUACGUGGUAACCAAAUGAUUUGCUUUUAGAUUCUGUGAACUUUGAUCUUGAGUUAAUUUGUUGUCUUGCAGAUGAAACUACCUUGAAUAAAAGUCUAUUACUAUGAAA